rnacentral:rRNA from 1 species
GAUGCUAUUCUAGAGAUAGAAGGUUACUUCGGUACAUCGGUGACAGGUGGUGCAUGGUUGUCGUCAGCUCGUGUCGUGAGAUGUUGGGUUAAGUCCCGCAACGAGCGCAACCCCUAUUGUUAGUUGCCAUCAUUCAGUUUGGGCACUCUAGCGAGACUGCCGGUAAUAACCGGAGGAAGUGGGGAUGACGUCAAUCAUCAUGCCCCUUAUGACCUGGGCUACACACGUGCUACAAUGGUUGGUACAACGAGUUGCGAGUCGGUGACGGCGAGCUAAUCUCUUAAAGCCAAUCUCAGUUCGGAUUGUAGGCUGCAACUCGCCUACAUGAAGUCGGAAUCGCUAGUAAUCGCGGAUCAGCACGCCGCGGUGAAUACGUUCCCGGGCCUU